GCAUCGUCAGCUUUAGCAACAACAAACCCAAUGUGGCAUUGCAACCNGGAGCCCAGGACAUCGCCAGCNUNAUNGNGUACAUGUNUGCCNUACUNUNNGGAUNUGCCCAAAACCACCNNGNNGGAAGCCAAAUCCCCUUGCAGGUGGUCACCGUAAGCAGCGCAAGCAUUUGGAAUAUAAANUUNGUCGGGGAGGAAAAAAUCCACCCCCCCGCNGGCGAGCUCGAAACCCUGAAAGUCAUAGCCGUAUCCCCCGACCACAAUGACUACCAACCGGAGCUGUGGUAUGCCAAAAAGUUUAACUAUGUUCCGGCCCGAAUUNUGCUGCGCGCCACAGACUNGUNCGCGGAAACGAAUUUGUCACAAUUACCGCCCGCCCAUUGAGACCAAAAUUACGAAGUANCGCNGGGCCUGUGGUGAAAUUGGCUUUUUUAAGAACAUCACAUGCACAUGGACUUGAAAAAUGGUAAAAAGAUGCUAAAUUCAGGCUAUUGACUCUAGAAACCCACUCUUAUGCAAACACNGUAUGACUCUGAUUCUUUNGUAGUGUUACACCUACAAACAGAGGCCCCCAAAGACGAAGCGUUCGAAGCGGCGCAAGCCAAAUCAGGCCGCCCGCGCACGGCCANUUCCNNNCCUCUCCCCGCUUUGGUGCGCGAAGGUUUUGAGAUNGUAGACAAGCGCUCGGGCAAAGAGAUUUACCUUGACGGCUCUAUGGCCGAGACGUUUCNCANGCAANUCAUNNCUUGGCGUGAAAACACGCCCACCCAAGAANAAGUUGAAGACACGCUAGAGAGCUACACCNCCUUGUACACACCGCCCGUCAUCUUGCUAAAA
rnacentral:rRNA from 1 species